GAGACGGGACGAGAUUUAGGGUUUGAUGUGUUUCUGAUUUUUGUGCAAGUUGCCAUGGCUGUUGAAGGUGCAUAGUGAAGGUGGAUGAUGGUUUUACAAUUCAAAACGAAGACGGUGCGAUGUUCGCGCAUGGAGGUUGAUGGCGUGGUGGCUAUGGAGGUUUGAUUGCUCGAGAACAUGAACCUAUGGUGGCACUAAUGGCGGCAAGGUGGUCCUGUGGUGGCACUUUGCACAAAUCCUAACCCUUUCCUUUUACCCAAUCACUUCAACUUUUAACAUUUCCACAUACAUUGCUAAGUCAAUUGACCUCAGCGUGUCACGCAAUCAACAACUUGACAACUC
rnacentral:lncRNA from 1 species